rnacentral:rRNA from 1 species
GACGAACGCUGGCGGCGCGCCUAAUACAUGCAAGUCGAACGAGAGCGACCGGUGCUUGCACUGGUCAAUCUAGUGGCGAACGGGUGAGUAACACGUGGGUAACCUGCCCAUCAGAGGGGGAUAACAUCCGGAAACGGAUGCUAAAACCGCAUAGGUCUUCGAGCCGCAUGGCUUGAAGAGGAAAAGAGGCGCAAGCUUCUGCUGAUGGAUGGACCCGCGGUGCAUUAGCUAGUUGGUGAGGUAACGGCUCACCAAGGCCGUGAUGCAUAGCCGACCUGAGAGGGUGAUCGGCCACAUUGGGACUGAGACACGGCCCAAACUCCUACGGGAGGCAGCAGUAGGGAAUCUUCCGCAAUGGACGCAAGUCUGACGGAGCAACGCCGCGUGAGUGAAGAAGGUUUUCGGAUCGUAAAACUCUGUUGUUAGAGAAGAACAAGUGCUAGAGUAACUGUUAGCGCCU